rnacentral:rRNA from 1 species
AGACCCGAAACCCGGUGAUCUAGCCAUGGGCAGGUUGAAGGUUGGGUAACACUAACUGGAGGACCGAACCGACUAAUGUUGAAAAAUUAGCGGAUGACCUGUGGCUGGGGGUGAAAGGCCAAUCAAACCGGGAGAUAGCUGGUUCUCCCCGAAAGCUAUUUAGGUAGCGCCUCGUGAAUUCAUCUCCGGGGGUAGAGCACUGUUUCGGCUAGGGGGCCAUCCCGGCUUACCAACCCGAUGCAAACUGCGAAUACCGGAGAAUGUUAUCACGGGAGACACACGGCGGGUGCUAACGUCCGUCGUGAAGAGGGAAACAACCCAGACCGCCAGCUAAGGUCCCAAAGUCAUGGUUAAGUGGGAAACGAUGUGGGAAGGCCCAGACAGCCAGGAUGUUGGCUUAGAAGCAGCCAUCAUUUAAAGAAAGCGUAAUAGCUCACUGGUCGAGUCGGCCUGCGCGGAAGAUGUAACGGGGCUAAACCAUGCACCGAAGCUGCGGCAGCGAACGUAUCACCCAAGACAACUUUACGGAGUUGACGAUUGACGGAGCGAAGCGACGUCAAAGCGUUCAUUAAAGUCGAGUUGGCUUAGGGAUACGUUCGUUGGGUAGGGGAGCGUUCUGUAAGCCUGUGAAGGUGUGUCGUGAGGCAUGCUGGAGGUAUCAGAAGUGCGAAUGCUGACAUAAGUAACGAUAAAGCGGGUGAAAAGCCCGCUCGCCGGAAGACCAAGGGUUCCUGUCCAACGUUAAUCGGGGCAGGGUGAGUCGACCCCUAAGGCGAGGCCGAAAGGCGUAGUCGAUGGGAAACGGGUUAAUAUUCCCGUACUUGGUGUUACUGCGAAGGGGGGACGGAGAAGGCUAUGUUGGCCGGGCGACGGUUGUCCCGGUUUAAGCGUGUAGGUGUGUGUUCCAGGUAAAUCCGGUUCACUUUAACACUGAGGCGUGACGACGAGGCACUACGGUGCUGAAGCAACAAAUGCCCUGCUUCCAGGAAAAGCCUCUAAGCAUCAGGUAACAUCAAAUCGUACCCCAAACCGACACAGGUGGUCAGGUAGAGAAUACCAAGGCGCUUGAGAGAACUCGGGUGAAGGAACUAGGCAAAAUGGUGCCGUAACUUCGGGAGAAGGCACGCUGACACGUAGGUGAAGUGAUUUACUCAUGGAGCUGAAGUCAGUCGAAGAUACCAGCUGGCUGCAACUGUUUAUUAAAAACACAGCACUGUGCAAACACGAAAGUGGACGUAUACGGUGUGACGCCUGCCCGGUGCCGGAAGGUUAAUUGAUGGGGUCAGCGCAAGCGAAGCUCCUGAUCGAAGCCCCGGUAAACGGCGGCCGUAACUAUAACGGUCCUAAGGUAGCGAAAUUCCUUGUCGGGUAAGUUCCGACCUGCACGAAUGGCGUAAUGAUGGCCAGGCUGUCUCCACCCGAGACUCAGUGAAAUUGAACUCGCUGUGAAGAUGCAGUGUACCCGCGGCAAGACGGAAAGACCCCGUGAACCUUUACUAUAGCUUGACACUGAACAUUGAGCCUUGAUGUGUAGGAUAGGUGGGAGGCUUUGAAGUGUGGACGCCAGUCUGCAUGGAGCCGACCUUGAAAUACCACCCUUUAAUGUUUGAUGUUCUAACGUGGACCCGUAAUCCGGGUUGCGGACAGUGUCUGGUGGGUAGUUUGACUGGGGCGGUCUCCUCCUAAAGAGUAACGGAGGAGCACGAAGGUUGGCUAAUCCUGGUCGGACAUCAGGAGGUUAGUGCAAUGGCAUAAGCCAGCUUGACUGCGAGCGUGACGGCGCGAGCAGGUGCGAAAGCAGGUCAUAGUGAUCCGGUGGUUCUGAAUGGAAGGGCCAUCGCUCAACGGAUAAAAGGUACUCCGGGGAUAACAGGCUGAUACCGCCCAAGAGUUCAUAUCGACGGCGGUGUUUGGCACCUCGAUGUCGGCUCAUCACAUCCUGGGGCUGAAGUAGGUCCCAAGGGUAUGGCUGUUCGCCAUUUAAAGUGGUACGCGAGCUGGGUUUAGAACGUCGUGAGACAGUUCGGUCCCUAUCUGCCGUGGGCGCUGGAGAACUGAGGGGGGCUGCUCCUAG